rnacentral:rRNA from 1 species
GACGAACGCUGGCGGCGUGCUUAACACAUGCAAGUCGAGCGGAGCGGCGAACGGGUGAGUAACGCGUGAGUAACUGCCCCCCUCUCUGGGAUAACAGUUUGAAACGGCUGCUAAUACCGGAUAGUGGGGUUGGACUCGCGUCCUAUCAGCGUGUUGGUGGGGUAGGUGCCUACCAAGGCGACGACGGGUAGCCGGCCUGAGCUGGCGACCGGCCACAUGGGGCUGAGAUACGGCCCAAACUCCUACGUGAGGCAGCAGUGGGGAGUAUUGCACAAUGGGGGAAACUGUGAUGCAGCAACGCGCGUGCGGAAUGACGGGCUUCGGGUUGUAAACCGCUUUCAGCCAUGACGCGGUAGUGGCAGAAGAAGCACCGGCUAACUACGUGCCAGCAGCCGCGGUAAUUC